CUUAUCGGAUUAGACAUUUUUAUGGCUUCUUGGAUGCUGCAUUCAUGGAGAAGAAAGACUGUUGGUUUAUGAGUACAUGCUUAGCAGAAGCCUUGAAUCAUUCAUUUUUGGUCUAAAUUAUUCAAAACCUUUUUAUUGCUUCUCCUAUCAUAAAUAUUCCCUACCUUGAAUCAUUCAUUGUGAUAUGCUUCAGAAUCCUGUAUAGUUUGCUGGUUUGAAAUAUCAAAACUGAUAUUGGACUGACAUGAAGAGAGUACUUACCAAUUGCCAGAUCAAAGAAGAAGUAAAGGAUUGGAUCGGUCCUAGAUUCUCGAUUGAGGAUAACUCAUAGAGAUCUCAAAGCUAGUAACGUUCUGCUUGAUAGUGAGAUGAAUCCAAAAUUUUCAGAUUUUGGCCUGGCUACAGCAUGCAUACAGGGGUAGCCGAGUAGAUGGACAAGAAAUUGCUGUGAAGAGGCUUUCAAGAAGCUCUGGACAAGUUUUAACUGAGUUCCAAAAUGAAGUAGCACCAAUAGCCAAGCUUCAACAUUGAAAUCUUGCAAAGCUUCUGUGAUGCUGCACUGAAGGAGAGGAAAAGAUGCUGGUUUAUGAAUAUAUGACAAACAAAAGUUUGAACUUGUUCAAUUUCGGUAUUCAAUCUCUCAAAAAUCCUAUAAAUUCUAUGGGACUAGUCUAUAUCAAAGAGAGAUCCUUUGUUUUAAGUUUUAAUCCAAUAUUCUGCGUGUAAAGGUUCAGUUAGUAGAUGAACUAAUGUGAUACCUUCCCUUUUAAAAGAAUAUGUUGAUUAAUUCA